AUCUGGAGGAUAUACUUGAAGAGAAACGGCUUGAAGCACGAACUACUUAGAAAUGAGGAAAAUAUUGCAGAAACGAGGAUAGAGCUGUGAAGACUUGAUGAAUACAUAUUUUUCUAAGGCAAUUUACUUCAAGACUGAAUUUGUUUAGUAUAGUCUAAAACACAAGCAACGUAACUUUUGCAACGAAAAAUGCACCAACUCAAGUUAAUGAACGAUUUCUCAAAAAUUAAGUCUACUCAUUUAUUUAAGAUUGUUUUUGAACAAAAUUGUGGACGUACUAAGCUAGUUAAGAAUCACUUUUAAGCCCAGGAUCUUGCAUUAGUUUAGAUAGAAAAAGCAUAAUAUAAGUAUUUUAAACGAUAGACGCCAGUAAUAGGUACUAGCGACGCGACAUAUGUAUAAUAAAUGAAAUUUUAUCAAGUAUGUAAAUUUACAAGCCUUAAUUGGUUAAUUUAUGUUGUAUCCCUGUCUUACAAAUAUAUAAGUCAUAACGACAGAUUAAGACAAAAGAUUGAUAGCUAAUUGAGGCUUGGAGCGCGUUUAUGACUAAUGCCAUUAGCUAUAAUAAAAAAACAGAAAUUUGUGUGUCUAUAGAACCGAUCUUGUAUACGUACAAACAAACAGAUUUGUGUUGUGAACCACUGUAGAACGUUUUCACAGUAGGUGCCUACCUUAAGUGUCAUUAACAACUUUACUUUUUAAAUCAAUGUGAAAAGGUUUCACAGUGGGUCAGGAAUAAAGUUGUCCGAUAGUAAAUCUAAACAGCUAUCUCUAUUUAAUACAUUUAGUGGGGGCUGCUUUUUCACCACACCAGCUGGUAAAAAGCUCUCUUGAUUAUUCAAAAACAGAAAAGUUGCAUUUUAUCCACAUGUGGGACAAAGUAAUCUAAUGCUAAUUUUGAAUUGUUUCUUUAUGUUGGCUGGUAGAAUUGACUUUUCAAUGAUGAAGAAUGAUAAAUAUUUAAUAACGUUCAUUUGGAUUUGAUUUGGUUGAGUUUGUUUGAUAUUUUACAGUUAGUAUCUUCCUCGCAUUGGCGUGGUGAAAAAUUUGUGUUUCACUCGGUGGUAAACUUUGUUUAACCCUCGUGCCUUGACACCCUGGCAACGCUCAAGAUUCCACUUUUCAAUUUUGGAAUCCUUCGCUUGUUCGGGUAUUGGGAAUGUAUAAUUAUUUUGCUCGAGUCAAACUAAGUUAUUCUAAGUCUCCCAAACAGCUAGUAGAAGAACAGCUCCGGAGGUACAGUCUACGCUCUAUUUCUACCUUCAAAAUGUACGCGGCGCAUCAUCGUGAACCUUGUCGGAGUGCACGAGCUACCUUAAUAACUUGCAGAAAUCUGUACUAUAUUCUGCUCAGUUUAAAGAUAAGUUAUCAAACGUUAUCAUGCCAAAUAUCGGCUCCUUAGCUUUAUCAGCAGUGUUAAAAAAUAACAUUACGUACCCGAAAUUUUUCUUGAAUGCCCUAGGUUAACAUUUUAUUGUAUUAAUGAAUGAGAUAACUAAGUAUUAAAUCUCGUGGACUACCUGAGGUUGACUUCGUAGCAGGGGGCUUAAUCGACUUAGUUUAACCAAGAAUUGUGAAAAGCGACGUCUUUCGCCUAAGACAAAAUUAUACUAUAGACCCAAGUGGAUACUUCUUAAUAGCUAAGUUUAUUUUUUAUAUAAAAGUAAGGUUUCGUUUCGUCUUAUAUUUAAAUUACUAUGGCAUUGUGACCUCAACAGUGUGUUGUGCCAUAGGUUUCGAUAACUUAUUUUAUUUGGAGUGAGUCUUAUUAGAUUGGCAUAUGAGGAAUGUUAUUUAUUUGUAAUACAAAGUCAAUACAUGUCUGUGAUGUGAUUAAUGUAAGGAACCAGCAUUUGGGAGCCUAUUAAACGUAUUUACUAAGAA